rnacentral:rRNA from 1 species
UACGUAGGGGGCUAGCGUUGUCCGGAAUCAUUGGGCGUAAAGAGCGUGUAGGCGGCCCGGUAAGUCCGCUGUGAAAGUCGGGGGCUCAACCCUCGAAUGCCGGUGGAUACUGUCGGGCUAGAGUGCGGAAGAGGCGAGUGGAAUUCCUGGUGUAGCGGUGAAAUGCGCAGAUAUCAGGAAGAACACCAAUGGCGAAGGCAGCUCUCUGGGACGGUACUGACGCUGAGACGCGAAAGCGUGGGAGCGAACAGG